CACGAACGCUGGCGGCAGGCCUAACACAUGCAAGUCGAACGCCCCGCAAGGGGAGUGGCAGACGGGUGAGUAACGCGUGGGAACCUUCCCAAAGGUGCGGACUAGCUCAGGGAAACUUGGGGUAAUACCGCAUAAUGCCGAGAGGCCAAAGAUUUACCGCCUUGGGAUGGGACCGCGUCGGAUUAGCUAGUUGGUGAGGUAACGGCGAACCAAGGCGACGAUCCGUAGCAGGUUUGAGAGAAUGACCAGCCACACUGGGACUGAGACACGGCCCAGACUCCUACGGGAGGCAGCAGUGGGGAAUCUUGGACAAUGGGCGCAAGCCUGAUCCAGCCAUGCCGCGUGAGUGACGAAGGCCUUAGGGUUGUAAAGCUCUUUUGCCGGGGACGAUAAUGACGGUACCCGGAGAAUAAGUCCCGGCUAACUUCGUGCCAGCAGCCGCAGUAA
rnacentral:rRNA from 1 species